UCAUUAUUAAUAAAAAUGACGAAGUUUCAUUUAUUGAAAAACCGGCAACUCUGCUUCGAACGGUCGAUAAUAAGAGAAACGUCAAAUUAGAUUUGAAAACAAAUAAUAUGCAGUCGUUCUGUGUUCAUUUGAUUCAUAAUUCCGAUAUUAUUGAUACAUUAAUCUCAAAACAUUAUUGUUUGAUUAUUCCAUCAAACGAAAAGGCAAAUAUUUUGAUACAGGAACUACCUGCGAUGUGGGUCAGCCAAACAGAAUGGAAAACGGAGGUGCAGGUCUGGAAGGAAUGCUUGAUUACCGGCAACGAACAGACCAUACAUACCAGCGGACACUAAAAUAUUGUGAGCCUACCGGACACCGGUUAAAAUGAAGUGGAAUAGUGCAAGUUUGAUGUUGAUGGAGAAUGGCAACAUAUGCAUUAUUUUUAUAAAUUUAAUUACAUCGAAGACACCGAAGCACAAAUGUGGCGAAAAAUGUUCGUGUGAUAUAAGGAUUUUUUUCCGACAUGGAGAUGAAAGGACGUGAACCAAAAAAGUAUACCGUAGAUCUUCAAUUGAAUGUAACCCUCAGGUUCAUCCUCAAUCAUCACAACAGAUUCCAGGAAAGGAAUCAUGAGUAAACAAUAAGCAAGUAACGAUCUGAACGAGUACCAUUAAAAUUUGUUUCCGAAACGUGAACCGAGAUUUAAAAUUAAUCACUUUUAGAUUAAGUUACUUUUUGUGAUAACGAUUGGACAAUAAAUAAGAAUGCAAAAUUUCAA